UAACAGGUGCUGAUGUGUAUUAGCUACCAACAUCUUCCAGGAUAUCAUCACCUGCUCUUGGUCUCCUGCUGAUCUGAGCUGAGCAGAUGGUGAGUGAGACGUGGAUCUGCCCAGUGAAGAACCUUGCCCAUUCUUUCUGGCCUUGUAACACUUCACAGGCUGCAGGUUGGAACCUUUAAGUAGCUGCAGCACAUUCCUCCAAUUUACAACGCUUCCCUGACUCGCCAGCUGGGCUCCACACAUAGCCUUGGUGCUCCAGGAAGGAAGACUUGGCAUCAAGAGAUUUGAUAUAUUUUGGCCAGAAUUCUAGUCUGACCUGACUGCACUGCAUCACCAAAUGAUCCCUGCAGAAAGCUUGCAGAGAGGGGAAGCUGCUUUCAAGAUCCAGUUUUCUCCUCUGGCUGCAAUGAGAUAUUUAACUCUGAUAAUCACACAUGAUUAUCUUUCCUGCAUUUGCCAUGGAAACUCUAAAUCAUCUACUUUAUCUUCUAUCUUGAUCAGAUUCUUACCU